UACGGGGGGGGGCAAGCGUUUGUUCGGAAUUACUGGGCGUAAAGGGCGCGUAGGCGGCCUUUCUAAGUCGGACGUGAAAUCCCUCGGCUUAACCGAGGAACUGCGUCCGAUACUGAAAGGCUUGAAUCCGGGAGAGGGAUGUGGAAUUCCAGGUGUAGCGGUGAAAUGCGUAGAUAUCUGGAGGAACACCGGUGGCGAAGGCGGCAUCCUGGACCGGCAUUGACGCUGAGGCGCGAAAGCUAGGGGAGCAAACGGG
rnacentral:rRNA from 1 species